rnacentral:rRNA from 1 species
CCUACGGGUGUCAGCAGUGGGGAAUAUUGGGCAAUGGGCGCAAGCCUGACCCAGCAAUGCCGCGUGAAGGAAGAAGGCUUUAGGAUUGUAAACUUCUUUGACAGGGGAAGAGCAGAAGACGGUACCCUGAAAACAAGCCACGGCUAACUACGUGCCAGCAGCCGCGGUAAUACGGAGGUGGCAAGCGUUGUCCGGAUUUACUGGGUGUAAAGGGCGUGUAGCCGGGAAGGCAAGUCAGAUGUGAAAUCCGGAGGCUCAACCUCAGAAUUGCAUUUGAAACUGUGUGUCGUGAGUACGGGAGAGGUAGACGGAAUUCCUUGUGUAGCGGUGAAAUGCGUAGAUAUAAGGAGGAACACCAGUGGCGAAGGCGGUCUGCUGGACAGCAACUGACGGUGAUGCACGAAAGCGUGGGGAGCAAACAGGAUUAGAUACCCCUGUAGUC